UCUCCAGUGGCGCAGUUAGUUAGCACGCGGUACAUAUAAUGCCGAGGUUGUGAGUUCGAGCCUCACCUGGAGAA
rnacentral:tRNA from 1 species